GAUGAACGCUAGCGGCAGGCUUAAUACAUGCAAGUCGAGGGGCAGCAUGACUGUAGCAAUACAGUUGAUGGCGACCGGCAAACGGGUGCGGAACACGUACAGAACCUUCCUUUAAGUGGUGAAUAGCCCAGAGAAAUUUGGAUUAAUACACCGUAACAUAUAGAGUUGGCAUCAAUUUUAUAUUAUAGCUCCGGCGCUUAAAGAUGGCUGUGCGGCUGAUUAGGUAGUUGGCGGGGUAACGGCCCACCAAGCAUACGAUCAGUAACUGGUGUGAGAGAACGACCAGUAACACGGGCACGGAGGCACGGGCCCGACUCCUACGGGAGGCAGCAGUAAGGAAUAUUGGUCAAUGCACGCAAGUCUGAACCAGCCAUGCCGCGUGGAGGAUGAAGGUCCUCUGGAUUGUAAACUUCUUUUCUCUGGGGCGAAAACCUCCCAUUCUUGGGAGCUUGACAGUACCAGAGGAAUAAGCACCGGCUAACUCCGUGCCAGCCGCCGCCGUAACAC
rnacentral:rRNA from 1 species